rnacentral:lncRNA from 1 species
AAAAAAGAUAACAUCACUAAUGAAGAUAUUACAGAAUUAAAAAAUUCAUUCGAAAAGAAUGAUGUAAAAAGUGAAAAGAAAAAAAGAACAAUUGUUAUACCUCGUUUUAAAAUUUGUGAAAACAGUAAUAGUUAUAAUUUGGAAAAGUUUGAAAAACCAAAGCAUUACAUCCGGUAUGAGCUAUAUAACGAUCAAGUUAGUGGCAUAAAAUUAAAUGAUGGGUCUAUUGUUCAUUAUGAUUUAUUAGAAGAAGAUGAAAUAUUUUUAAAUAGUUUGAAUGUACAUUUGAAUAAGCCAAUUAAUGAAGAUGAUUUUUGUAAACUUGUAGAUAAAUUUGAAAAAAUGACAGGUACAUCAGAAAAUAAAGAAGAAAUAAAUUUAAAAGAUGCAUUCAAAGCAGCUGUUGAAUUAAAAAUUAAUUUAAAAAGCACUGUUAUAAAAGAUAUUCAUAAUUAUUGGAAAGCAAAAAGAAAAAAAUUAGGAAGGCCUUUAUUACGUAUGUUUUGGAAUUACUCUCAGAACAUUUUACCUAAUCACUCAGUUUUUAGAUCAAGAGUAAAAGAAAAGAUGACACUAAGAAAACAUAAAAGAAAAAAUAGUGAAGUAAUACUUAAAAUGAGAGAAUUACUAGAAGAUUUCAAAAGAUUGGAUGUAAUUUUAAAAAAAAUGCAACAAAGAGAUGAAAAAAAAAUACAGCUUUUACAAUUAAAUGCUAUUUUAUUUGAUCAAAGAAAAAAUGAAAUAGAAGAUAAAAGUUAUGUAUGUCCUAUGUGGAACUAUUAUCAAAAUUUUAAUAUAGAAGAAGAGAUAUGUAAAAAAGCAAGAGAUAAUUCGGUUAUGAGUUUAAAUAGUAAUAAUAGUAUGUGUAUUACUAAUGUAGAUAAUAAUGAUAUCUUAUUAAGUGAUGAACUGGAACCAAAUAAAAAAAAUAAAAAUCUAAAAAAAAACGAAUUUACAAAAACUAUAAAAAUUAAUCCUAAUGAUUUUAAAAAUGUAGUAUUAAUUAAAAGAAGAGGUAGAAAUCAUAGAAUAUGGGUCGAUCGAAAAUAUGUAAAUGAUUUAAAUUCUGAAAACAUACAAUGUUGUGAUUUAACAUACACUUUUAAUGAUAUUGAAAAUUCUCCUUUAACUUUAAAAAAAAAUUACCAACCAAAUAUAAACAAAAUUCCCUUUUUUAGGCAAAAGGUAAACCCACCGCCUAGUAAAAUGGUCACUAUAAAAGAUAUAGACGUGCAAAAAGUAGACGACACUAUUCCUAUUGCUUCUACCGAUGUUACUGUUAAUAAUACUACAACACCCGCUACUAUUGGUACUACUAACAAAAGUAUUAUGAACAAAAAAUGCUCAAAUAAAAGGCAAGUUAAUGAUGAAGAAUUUAGUGCAAUAGCGUUAGAACAGGGUGAAAAGUUACAAAAUGAAAAUAGAAAAAGAAGAAGAAGAAAAAAAGAAACCAAUGAUCAUAUAUAUUUAGAUAAUGUA